rnacentral:rRNA from 1 species
UCCGUGGGGUGCAAGCGUUGUUCGGAAUUACUGGGCGUAAAGGGCUCGUAGGCGGCCAACUAAGUCAGACGUGAAAUCCCUCGGCUUAACCGGGGAACUGCGUCUGAUACUGGUUGGCUUGAAUCCGGGAGAGGGAUGUGGAAUUCCAGGUGUAGCGGUGAAAUGCGUAGAUAUCUGGAGGAACACCGGUGGCGAAGGCGGCAUCCUGGACCGGUAUUGACGCUGAGGAGCGAGAGCCAGGGGAGCAAACGGG